rnacentral:rRNA from 1 species
GACGAACGCUGGCGGCGUGCUUAACACAUGCAAGUCGAACGGAAAGGCCCUGCUUGCAGGGUACUCGAGUGGCGAACGGGUGAGUAACACGUGGGUGAUCUGCCCUGCACUUCGGGAUAAGCCUGGGAAACUGGGUCUAAUACCGGAUAGGAGCCAUUUUUAGUGUGAUGGUUGGAAAGUUUUUUCGGUGUAGGAUGAGCUCGCGGCCUAUCAGCUUGUUGGUGGGGUAAUGGCCUACCAAGGCGGCGACGGGUAGCCGGCCUGAGAGGGUGGACGGCCACAUUGGGACUGAGAUACGGCCCAGACUCCUACGGGAGGCAUCAGUGGGGAAUAUUGCACAAUGGGCGCAAGCCUGAUGCAGCGACGCCGCGGGGGGGAUGACGGCCUUCGGGUUGUAAACGCCUUUCGCUAGGGACGAAGCUUUUUGUGACGGUACCUAGAUAAGAAGCACCGGCUAACUACGUG